AAACCAGCACCUCAAGUGGUCAGGAUGAUUAUUGGGCCUAAAGCAUCCGUAGCCUGCACUGUAAGUUUUCGGUUAAAUCUGUACGCUUAACGUACAGGCCGCCGGGAAUACUGCAGAGCUAGGGAGUGGGAGAGGUAGACGGUACUCGGGAGGAAGUGGUAAAAUGCUUUGAUCUCUCGAUGACCACCUGUGGCGAAGGCGGUCUACCAGAACACGUCCGACGGUGAGGGAUGAAAGCUGGGGGAGCAAACCGGAUUAGAAACCCGGGUAGUCC
rnacentral:rRNA from 1 species